GGAGGCGUGGCUGAGUGGUUGAAAGCGCCGCUCUCGAAAAGCGGUAUACUCGAAAGGGUAUCGGAGGUUCGAAUCCUCCCGCCUCCGCCA
rnacentral:tRNA from 1 species